rnacentral:rRNA from 1 species
GAACUGAAGAGUUUGAUCAUGGCUCAGAUUGAACGCUGGCGGCAGGCCUAACACAUGCAAGUCGAGCGGAUGACGGGAGCUUGCUCCUUGAUUCAGCGGCGGACGGGUGAGUAAUG